UCCGGUUUGUCACCGGCGGUCUCCCUUGCGGGUAGCAACUAAGGGCGAGGGUUGCGCUCGUUGCGGGACUUAACCCAACAUCUCACGACACGAGCUGACGACAGCCAUGCAGCACCUGUGCACGAUCUCCGAAGAGGGGCUCUCGUUUCUGAGAGCUUGCUCGUGCAUGUCAAGCCUAGGUAAGGUUCUUCGCGUUGCGUCGAAUUAAACCACAUGCUCCACCGCUUGUGCGGGCCCCCGUCAAUUCCUUUGAGUUUCAACCUUGCGGUCGUACUCCCCAGGCGGGGUACUUCCUGCGUUAGCGCCGGCACCCAGAGGGUCGCUCCCCCAGGCACCUAGUACCCAUCGUUUACGGCGUGGACUAC
rnacentral:misc_RNA from 1 species